UUCACGGUUUCAAGCUUGCUAAUGGCAGUCUCUCUCUCUUCCAAAGACAGUUUCAAAUCUUCACAGUUCAGACUUCAGAUUCAUAAUGCCAGGGCUCUCAUGGCUCUUCCUUCCUCCAGAUGUUCAAGUCCUUUCAGUUGCUGCCGUUUCAAAAAAACCAAAGUGCCAUGACUACACAAUUGAAGAGCUCAUCACCAAGAGCUUCAAUAACGUCAUCUAGCAAUCAGAUUGGCUAGAUGAAUAUGGAGAAAGGUGAAUUUCAUGUAAGACGUGGUUGAGAUUUGUAAUAGAAAUUG